UGCAUAGAAAACUUUUUAUGUUCUUACUUUCUUAAAAAGUAAGCUAAGAUGGAAUUUGGUGUAAAUCCAAAACGGGCCCGCCGCUGUAAAUGAGGAGCUUAUAAGAAAAUGUCACUGAUGAAAAUUGGGAAGACCUUAUAGGCAAUGAUUCUAAGUCAGAAGACAUGCAUAAAAAGACUUUUUUUAG
rnacentral:ncRNA from 23 species